GUUUACGUAGCUUAAAAACAAAGCGAGGCACUGAAAAUGCCUAGAUGAGUUACAUACUACUCCGCAAACA
rnacentral:tRNA from 1 species